GAGUUUGAUCCUGGCUCAGGAUGAACGCUAGCUACAGGCUUAACACAUGCAAGUCGAGGGGCAGCAUGGUCUUAGCUUGCUAAGGCCGAUGGCGACCGGCGCACGGGUGAGUAACACGUAUCCAACCUGCCGUCUACUCUUGGACAGCCUUCUGAAAGGAAGAUUAAUACAAGAUGGCAUCAUGAGUCCGCAUGUUCACAUGAUUAAAGGUAUUCCGGUAGACGAUGGGGAUGCGUUCCAUUAGAUAGUAGGCGGGGUAACGGCCCACCUAGUCUUCGAUGGAUAGGGGUUCUGAGAGGAAGGUCCCCCACAUUGGAACUGAGACACGGUCCAAACUCCUACGGGAGGCAGCAGUGAGGAAUAUUGGUCAAUGGACGAGAGUCUGAACCAGCCAAGUAGCGUGAAGGAUGACUGCCCUAUGGGUUGUAAACUUCUUUUAUACGGGAAUAAAGUGGAGUAUGCAUACUCCUUUGUAUGUACCGUAUGAAUAAGGAUCGGCUAACUCCGUGCCAGCAGCCGCGGUAAUAC
rnacentral:rRNA from 1 species